CCAGAAUCUGACUCCAGAAGCACUGGGACACAGCGACCUUUAUCCCAUUUGGUUGUGUUCAUGGCUCAGUGGUGGUGGUCCUUGUGAACGCAGUUGCGUUAUUAGUGGAGCUGAUCCCAAAAGCGCAAACUGGCCAGCGUACGGUGGGUCUGCACGUCAUUCUCCUACCGACUGAAUGCGUCUUUGCUGUGUGCUGCCUUGCUUUACAAAUAUCUGCUUUCUAGCGGACACUACGCUCCGUGUAAUUACAGCCGGAUCGGUUUAGUACUUGUGCAUGCUCUAAACACGACCAGUUUCUCUUCUAAAACACUGUCACGUUUUCCCCAUCACACACAUGGAAGAAGAACAGAGUAAGAAAAGACAUCGACUGGCUGCAAUGAACGUGUGGGUGUAAACAGAAACACAGGGUGAGUACGUCACGGUGUGAUAUUAAACACGGAAGAAAAAACGGAUUAACAUCAUUAACUUGUGCGGCUUUUACAUUAAACAUCAUACAAACGCAGGGCUCACCUCUGAACUGAAUAGACUGGACGCACUCGUCUGAUCACCUCAAGGAUUGUUUUAAAGAUGCUUGUAAUGUGUUCUAUUUUUGUUGUUGUUAUUGUUGUUGUUUUUACAAUCUUUUGUGUGACACUUAAAUGUGAAUUUCUUGUCUUCAUGUUUGAGCCUCCUGUAGAAUAGUUUUUAUUAUCUAAUUGCUAGAUUUAAUGACUGGAUUUAUUCAUUUAUUAUUUUUGUUGAGUUCUUUUGCAUUUCAAGAGUUAAGACUGAUUGCAGCAAGAGGAAACAUGGCAUGUUGUACGUUAAACAAUGAGAAU